rnacentral:rRNA from 1 species
UGGGGAAUAUUGCACAAUGGAGGGAACUCUGAUGCAGCGACGCCGCGUGAACGAAGAAGGCUUUCGAGUCGUAAAGUUCUUUUAUAUGGGAAGAUAAUGACGGUACCAUAAGAAAAAGCCCCGGCUAACUACGUGCCAGCAGCCGCGGUAAUACGUAGGGGGCUAGCGUUGUCCGGAAUCACUUGGCGUAAAGGGUUCGCAGGCGGAAAUGCAAGUCAGGUGUAAAAGGCAGUAGCUUAACUACUGUAAGCAUUUGAAACUGCAUAUCUUGAGAAGAGUAGAGGUAAGUGGAAUUUUUAGUGUAGCGGUGAAAUGCGUAGAUAUUAAAAAGAAUACCGGUGGCGAAGGCGGCUUACUGGGCUCAUUCUGACGCUGAGGAACGAAAGCGUGGGUAGCAAACAGG